rnacentral:rRNA from 1 species
GACGAACGCUGGCGGCGUGCUUAACACAUGCAAGUCGAACGGAAAGGCCCUGCUUUUGUGGGGUGCUCGAUUGGCGAACGGGGGAGUAACACGUGAGUAACCUGCCCUUGACUUUGGGAUAACUUCAGGAAACUGGGGCUAAUACCGCAUAGGAUCUCCUGCUGCGUGGGGGGGGUUGGAAAGUGUCGGCGGUGGGGGCUGUACUCGCGGCUUCUCGGCUUGUUGGUGGGGUAGUGGCUUACCAAGUCUUUGACGGGUAGCCGGCCUGAGAGGGUGACCGGCCUCAAUGGGACUGCGGUACGGCCCAGACUCCUACCGGAGGCAGCAGUGGGGAAUAUUGCACAAUGGGCGGACGCCUGAUGCGGCAGCGCCGCGUGCGGGAUGCCGUCCUUCGGGUUGUAAACCGAUUUCGCCUGUGACGAAGCGUGAGUGACGGUAAUGGGUAAAGAAGCACCGGCUAACUACGUG